rnacentral:tRNA from 1 species
UGCGGAGGUAGCCAAGCCCGGUAUGGCGCUGGCCUGCUAAGCCAGUUAUCCAUUGGAUAACACGGGUUCAAAUCCCGUCCUCCGCGU